rnacentral:rRNA from 1 species
GAUGAACGCUAGCUACAGGCUUAACACAUGCAAGUCGAGGGGAAACGACAUCGAAAGCUUGCUUUUGAUGGGCGUCGACCGGCGCACGGGUGAGUAACGCGUAUCCAACCUGCCCACCACUUGGGGAUAACCUUGCGAAAGUAAGACUAAUACCCAAUGACGUCUCUAGAAGGCAUCUGAAGGAGAUUAAAGAUUUAUCGGUGAUGGAUGGGGAUGCGUCUGAUUAGCUUGUUGGCGGGGUAACGGCCCACCAAGGCGACGAUCAGUAGGGGUUCUGAGAGGAAGGUCUCCCACAUUGGAACUGAGACACGGUCCAAACUCCUACGGGAGGCAGCAGUGAGGAAUAUUGGUCAAUGGGCGAGAGCCUGAACCAGCCAAGUAGCGUGCAGGAUGACGGCCCUAUGGGUUGUAAACUGCUUUUAUAAGGGAAUAAAGUGAGUCUCGUGAGACUUUUUGCAUGUACCUUAUGAAUAAGGACCGGCUAAUUCCGUGCCAGCCGCCGCCGUAA